rnacentral:misc_RNA from 1 species
GAAUCUCAGGAAUUAUAAUUCCUAGAAACAAACACCACAAUCUACAAUCAUGGCCAUUUUUAAUAUGCAUUUCUACUACAAGAAUCCAAUCAAAUCUAAUGGGACAAUGUGAAAAUAAUAAAAGCAAGGGAACACAAGCAAUCGAUUUCUACUUUUUGAAUUGUUCAGUUUCUAGGAAUUAUAAUUCCUGAGAUUCUAUGUGCUAUGCACAUUUAAGAAAAAAGAAAGCACUUAAUCCUUGAAUGGUUAUGAAAUCAGCAUUUACUUCCAUACAAGAGCUAUAAAAAGUUUCAGAUAAAAGCAGUUCGUCCACCCCUUCGACUAUUCCUGUCAUAGGCAGUGUUGAAUUUGUCAACUAGCUCAUUCAUUGUGCUUGAGCAGUUAGUAAACAUGGCCAGGUAUGUGAUCAAUAAUGUAUCAUUGUAUUCCAUCAAGAAAUCAUCUUGAAAUUUUUCGGAUUCAAUGGCUGGCAAUCUUCUCAAAAGGCUUGAUACUUGUCUUAAUAAUGAGUUCUCACAAGGAAUUUCACCUUUCUGCAUUGCAACAAGAUAGUGAUGAAGCACCCUAAUUCUGCUAUUCAACAUUUUGAUGGCACUAUGUAUGCUAGUAAGGUGAGCAGCCAAUUGUGUUGCUGCCGAGCCUCCAUCAGAUGGCUUAAGAUGUGCCACAUGAUCAACUGAGAUUCUUUCAGCUUCUACUGUCUCAAUUGUGUAACUUGAACGAACAAAGAUAAGCUGUGGAAUGCCAUCUAUGACAUGUAGCUCACUUUCAUAUAUAGUCACAGGCAGAUCCUUCUGGGCCGGAUUGAUUAAAGGAUUAAGUAGAACAUAAACAGGGCUUUCAUUAAUAUCCAUCAAAGCCUUGUGAAUAUGCAUAUCGAAUUCCUCAGCGUCACUACCCGUUGAAUACCAUCCCAGUAUGUAAAAGUGGGGGAAAACCUUCUUAUAGAGCUCUUGUUUCUUCUCAAGGAAAGCUCGGUCUAGGGAGUGGGUGACGGGAUCAUAAAGAAGCUCAAAACUGUUGAAGAUCUCAACGAUGCGUCCCCUCUGCACUCCUAUAACGCAUCCGUACACUCUGGGUGGCGGUGCUGCAGCUGAAACAGCAGUGACACCACCAUCGCCGGAGCCGUUGCUGUUGUUAGUAGUAGUACUAGAGGAGGAGCUGGUGGCGGUGGAGGUAACGGGAGGGUUCAUCUGAGAUUUGACCCGCGUAUAGUGAUCGGAGAUGUUAACUAUGACAAGUGGGUGUAGCUUGAAUGUUAAACCACUGCUCGACGAUGAGGACAUUUUUGUUUUCCUUGGCUUUAAUUUCCCCGGAUCCCUACUGUCCAAUCGGAAGCACGGUCAGUGACAGUCUCCCCGUGAAAUUGAACGCUAUACUUGCAGGAGAAACAGAUGCAGGGAUUUUGGGAGUUCUACCCUUUGUUUGGAUACUUUUAAACAAGGAAAUGAAAGUGAAUC